GCCAGCUUGACCUGGGAUAUCUGGGUUUAUGGGGAUGCUGUGCCCAGCCCCCUUCACUAUUUGGUCCUUUAAUUGUAGAGGGUGAGGAAGAGGCUACAGGUGGCGACCUGGGAUUGUGCUAGCUUGAGGUUACCUGCAAACAAACCGAUUCUCAUGCUUACAGAAAAGCUGCAGGGAUUACAGAGUGCUCUUCCUAAAGUUAACACAACUAUGGCAUGUUGAUAAAAAACCACGAACACAGAUCCAGCACAACGCUGUUAACUAGGCUGUAACCAAAGCUUGUGUCACGCUGCAAAAACCCAACCAGGACACUACUCAUGAAGACAACAUUUUUUUCUUAGCAUACGGUUUGGUACCCUGUUGUGUGACUUGUCCAGGCACCAGCCCUGUGACAGACCGAAGAAACAUCCCGCGCGAGUGGAACUAGGCAUGGCUGCUAGAGUCGGGCUGUGUCCCCCGUAUUCAUGGUGAGGGUGCUAACCUCCAGUGCGUCAGACUGUGAACUCAGUUGGACAUCGGGCGGUUGCAGACACAGCUGGUUGUUAAGAUGUGGUCACCCUGGAGCGGGUUGGGCUCCAGUCUCACGUGAUUGCUGUCCUUAUCCAAAGACGCCACACGCACACAAACAUUGAAAUUACCAAGAGAAGACUGCCAGCCGCAGAAGAACAAGUCCUGGACAAUUCCAGUUAAGUGGGACCUAGAAGAGCCAAAUGACAGAAAAUAACAGUGGUUACCAGGGACUGGGGACUCCAUGGGGCACAGGGAGCCAAGGUUCCGUGGACAGAUACGGGGUUCCAGGUUGGCAUGACUGAAAAUUCUGGAGCUGGAUAGCGAAACUUAAUGCCGCUGUGCUGUGUAGUUAAAAGAUGGUUUAAAUGGUUUCAUUCAUUCAUUCAUUCAUUCAUUCAAGACAGGGAUUCUCCUCCUGGAAUUCACUCUGUAAACCAGGCUGGCCUCAAAGUCACAGAGGUCUGCCUGCCCUCUGCCUCCCAAGUGCUGGGAUUAAAGGAGUGCGCCACCACUGCCAAGCUUAUAAUGAUUUUUAAAAACUACUUUUAUUUUACUCCUCCUUCUUCUUUCCCCUUCUUCUCUUUAAGGGAGAAAAGGUUUACAUGGUUGUGGCCCCCCAUGGCAGGGUGGAACGGUGGCAGGAGCUGGAGCAGUGUUGCCACACCGCGCCACACACUGGGAGCAGAGGGAGGCUCAGACACCACUCUCCUUUUAUGUUACCUUGUUUUUGAGAUGGUCUCAGAAUGCAGCCCUAGCUGGGCCUGAGCAUAGGACCCUCUCACCCCAGCUUCCACUGCACCCUGAGCCGCUACGUAUGCUUUAUAAAGUUCAUAAACGUACUUAUGUGGAAAUAAGGACGCAGUGUAGUCUGGAGAUGAUUGCAAACUUAGAGACUAUUUGUUGACAAGACAGCUCAGAUUGUCUGCAGAGAAUCAGGAACCAGGAAAGACGAGCCUGGCUCCAUCCCCAUCACAGGCCACAGGAGGGUUCAACACUUCCUACACCACCCUCUGCCCAUGCCACUCUCUGCCCACGCCACCCUCUGCCCACACCACCCUCUGUCUAUGCCACUGUCUGCCUGUACCACCCUCUGCCCACGCCACCCUCUGCCCAUGCCACCCUCUGCCCACGCCACCCUCUGCCCACAUCACCCUCUGCCCAUGCCACCCUCUGCCCAGCCCAUACCACCCUCUGCCUGUGCCACCUUCUGCCCACACUACUCUGCCCACACUCUGAUCUCUGACUUUGGCUCCAGAAUCACAAGACUGCACAAUUUUCUUUAAACAACCCAGUCUGUGGUGCCUUGCUACCAUAGCCCCAGAAGGACACAACACCUCUCUGUGGUUGGAAUCCAUCUCCAGGCCCCUCCCUGGCUUCUGGAGCAGCAAGGAAGAGCUGGCUUCCAAUGGUCCCCUCUGCGGCUCGCCUUCCAUCCCCCUAUUGGUUCUUUGCUCCUCCAGCCUCCUUUGCCUUCUCACUUCCCCGCUGUCCGGUCACACUGGAGAGGACUCGGUCCACGGUCACACUGGAGAGGACUCGGUCCACAGUCACACUGGAGAGGACUCGGUCCACAGGAAGAAGUGAUCUUUGAAGCUCGUUCAAUAUUCUAUCCUCAGGCCUGGUUGCCCCCCCCCCAUACAAAUUUGUAAAUGAAUGAUUGUGUGCGGGAGGGAGGGCUGAGUCACUUCCCCGAUUCCUAUCAGAGUUGCUCUGAGAGAAUGCCUGUGUGUAUAGAAUAAGCGUGGACAGUAGAACCUCCCUGUGCCUUGGUGACAGCCAGUCAGAGCAGAGCCCCGAGGCCUCUCUAGACUGAGGUGAAAACUGCCACAGAAAAUCUGCCUGGGGCUGCCUUCAGUUUAGGGCAGGGACUGUGAGGUGUAAAGGGAAAGCCCUUCCCAUAGGACUGCUGGGCGCAAGCUUGGUCCUGGUUCUAGUAAUAGACAGUUAAAGGAAGAGGCUUCCAUGUCAUCCGAGGUAGAGCCUGGAAGUGGAUGCAGAUAGGAAAGGUGGAGUAGAUGGUGGGUCUAUGAUCGGCUCAUCUCCAGACCUCAGGCUGCACAGUGGAUAGUGAGGCCAAGGAGGACAAGGCCUGGGUGUUCUCACAGAGCCUCUAGAGGCGGUUGUGGAAAUGCAGGAGAUAUUUUGGACUUGGAAAAAGCUGCAGGAAGGAGGCGCCAACUGAGAAAAGCCUUGGCAGGGGCUAGGUGUAGGACCCAGCUACUUAAUACAAGAGGCCCGAGUCUCAGCAGUUUACUCUAAGGCAAUACCUGGUUCUGAGGAAGACCACAAACUGAGACUACCCUGUCACCACUCAGGAAUGGACCAUCCAAAGGAAAUUCCUAACGUUCCAACCUUCCAACUAUUGUAGAUAGGAUCACCUGCCAGCACACACCCAUCGCUUUUCCCCAGGACACCCCUAGACAAAUGCCAGCCAAUCAGGAUUAAACCCGUCAACCCGUCACCCCACACCCUGCUAAUGUAACUUCUCUGGUUUUUGCCUUUAAAUGGUGCCCUUUAGAAGGGUGGGCACCUCCUCUCGCUGCUGCGCUGCUGAAUCCCCUGCCGACUUGU